UGGGGAAUUUUGGACAAUGGGGGAAACCCUGAUCCAGCCAUCCCGCGUGUGCGAUGAAGGCCUUCGGGUUGUAAAGCACUUUUGGCAGGAAAGAAACGUCGCGGGUUAAUACCCCGCGAAACUGACGGUACCUGCAGAAUAAGCACCGGCUAACUACGUGCCAGCAGCCGCGGUAAUACGUAGGGUGCAAGCGUUAAUCGGAAUUACUGGGCGUAAAGCGUGCGCAGGCGGUUCGGAAAGAAAGAUGUGAAAUCCCAGGGCUUAACUUUGGAACUGCAUUUUUAACUACCGGGCUAGAGUGUGUCAGAGGGAGGUGGAAUUCCGCGUGUAGCAGUGAAAUGCGUAGAUAUGCGGAGGAACACCGAUGGCGAAGGCAGCCUCCUGGGAUAACACUGACGCUCAUGCACGAAAGCGUGGGGAGCAAACAGGAUUAGAUACCCUGGUAGUCCACGCCCUAAACGAUGUCAACUAGCUGUUGGGGCCUUCGGGCCUUGGUAGCGCAGCUAACGCGUGAAGUUGACCGCCUGGGGAGUACGGUCGCAAGAUUAAAACUCAAAGGAA
rnacentral:rRNA from 1 species